rnacentral:rRNA from 1 species
UGAGGAAUAUUGGGCAAUGCCCGCAAGGGUGACCCAGCAACGCCGCGUGGAGGAUGAAUGUCGUAAGAUUGUAAACUCCUGUUAGAGGGGAAGAAUAGUACCGGUUGGACCGGUAUAUGACUGUACCCUCCGAGAAAGCCCCGGCUAACUACGUGCCAGCAGCCGCGGUAAUACGUAGGGGGCAAGCGUUGUCCGGAUUUACUGGGUGUAAAGGGCGCGCAGGCGGGAUAAAAAGUCAGUGGUGAAAUCCUACAGCUUAACUGUGGAACUGCCUUUGAUACUUUUAUUCUUGAGUUCGGGAGAGAGAGACGGAAUUCCAGGUGUAGUGGUGAAAUACGUAGAUAUCUGGAAGAACACCAGUUGCGAAGGCGGUCUCUUGGUCCGACACUGACGCUGAGGCGCGAAAGCGUGGGGAGCAAACA